rnacentral:rRNA from 1 species
UAAAGACCUAGUAAUAGGUAUGCUUAGGGAGGAGCUCGCGUCACAUUAGUUAGUUGGUGGGGUAAAGGCCUACCAAGACUAUGAUGUGUAGCCGGGCUGAGAGGUUGAACGGCCACAUUGGGACUGAGACACGGCCCAAACUCCUACGGGAGGCAGCAGUAGGGAAUUUUCGGCAAUGGAGGAAACUCUGACCGAGCAACGCCGCGUGAACGAUGAAGUAUUUCGGUACGUAAAGUUCUUUUAUUAGGGAAGAAUAAAUGAUGGAAAAAUCAUUCUGACGGUACCUAAUGAAUAAGCCCCGGCUAACUAUGUGCCAGCAGCCGCGGUAAUACAUAGGGGGCAAGCGUUAUCCGGAAUUAUUGGGCGUAAAGGGUGCGUAGGCGGUUAAAUAAGUUUAUGGUCUAAGUGCAAUGCUCAACAUUGUGAUGCUAUAAAAACUGUUUAGCUAGAGUAAGAUAGAGGCAAGUGGAAUUCCAUGUGUAGUGGUAAAAUGCGUAAAUAUAUGGAGGAACACCAGUAGCGAAGGCGGCUUGCUGGGUCUUUACUGACGCUGAGGCACGAAAGCGUGGGGAGCAAACAGGAUUAGAUACCCUGGUAGUCCACGCCGUAAACGAUGAGUACUAAACGUUGGGUAAAACCAGUGUUGAAGUUAACACAUUAAGUACUCCGCCUGAGUAGUACGUACGCAAGUAUGAAACUUAAAGGAAUUGACGGGACUCCGCACAAGCGGUGGAUCAUGUUGUUUAAUUCGAAGGUACCCGAAAAACCUCACCAGGUCUUGACAUGCUUCUGCAAAGCUGUAGAAACACAGUGGAGGUUAUCAGUUGCACAGGUGGUGCAUGGUUGUCGUCAGCUCGUGUCGUGAGAUGUUGGGUUAAGUCCCGCAACGAGCGCAACCCUUAUUGUUAGUUACCAGCACGUAAUGGUGGGGACUUUAGCAAGACUGCCAGUGAUAAAUUGGAGGAAGGUGGGGACGACGUCAAAUCAUCAUGCCCCUUAUGACCUGGGCUACAAACGUGAUACAAUGGCUGUUACAAAGGGUAGCUGAAGCGCAAGUUUUUGGCGAAUCUCAAAAAAACAGUCUCAGUUCGGAUUGAAGUCUGCAACUCGACUUCAUGAAGUUGGAAUCGCUAGUAAUCGCGAAUCCAGCAUGUCGCGGUGAAUACGUU